rnacentral:lncRNA from 10 species
GAAACCCUGUCUCUACUAAAAAUACAAAAUACAAAAAAAAUCAGCCUGGCAUGGUGGCGGGCGCCUGUGGUCCCAGCUACUCUGGAGGCUGACGCAGGAGAAUGCCGUGAACCCGGGAGGCGGAGCUUGCAGAGAGCCGGAGAUCACGCCACUGCACUCCAGCCUGGGCUACAGAGCAAGACUCCGUCUCAAAAAAAACCAAAACAAAACAAAACAAAAAAAACACCCAGUUUUUCCAUGGAGUGAUAGAAUUUAAUUGAUGAGCUUGACGAGCUUAAUUACAGAAGGGAGAGCUCCAAAAUACAUGUCUGCAGCUUCACUCGUGCCUGAGCCAGCGAGAGCAGGAACCCACCAGAAGGAAGAAACUCCAAACACAUCCGAACAUCAGAAGGAACAAACUCCAGAUGCGCCACCUUAAGAGCUGUAACACUCACCACGAGGGUCCGGGGCUUCGUUCUUGAAGUCAGUGAGACCAAGAACCCACCAAUUCUGGACACAGGAGCACAGGUGUCUUUUCAAGAUUCUGAUUUCAUUUCCUUUGGAUGUAUACCCAGCAGUGGGAUUUGUGUUCAUAAGGAUCCAGCAUUUGUGAAAAUCACAGAAGAUCAUAUGAGAAGGCACCAUUUUAAUGAAAGAACAAGAAACCUGAAAUUCAAUAACAAAGCCUGAAGGCUAGAAAAGGUUAUGAAAUAGCCCAUGAUAAGCACAGGUGGAAAAUUGACACAAAGAGUUUUCUGCUAUGCCAAAUAAAUUUUGUUGUCUUUGUGUGUGUGUAUGCUGCGUAUCUUAAAACCAUAACAUUUUCACUGACAUUGAAUCAUCCUCCUCAGUAACUGAGGGAAACUUCCUUGGGAACCCACCUUAAAUUUUACCAUCUUUGGCAGCUUUUGAAAUGACUCUAUCUUCAAAUUCUUGAAUUUCCACAUUCUCUUCUCUGACUUUACCUUUGAUUAUUUUGCUCUCAGUAAAUCUGCAUCUCAGUCUUCCUCUUCUCAGUUCUAUCCUAGUGUACCAGCCCAUUAACCCCUGUUUGAUUUUAUUUGGCUCUCUUCCUCCAUGGGGCUACACGUAAGCCUCAUGCUCAUUGUAGUCCCUGUCUCUCUUCAACACUGGUAUCUUACCACCUCUCCAUAACUUCCCACUAUUUCUUUCUUGCCAAUCAUCAACCCUGUGUAAUAUCUACUGUCUUAUUUUCUUUGACGCUAGAAAUCAAGGCCCUGAUGGUCAAAGGCAUUAAACAAUCUAUGGGUUUGCCAUAAGUGCAUUAUGUGGUUUAUUAUUUUGCAGAUAUUUAAUGUGGUACAUGAUAAAAUGUUACUUUUUCUACUAAUCUUAUUUAUGUAGCCGAAAAUCUAGAAAAAUGUUUUUCUU